CAGGCCACUAGGGGGAGCCGAGCAUACGGAAGGGACUGAUCUUUUAUACCGACAGGAAAUACCUAGGAGGAAGUUGCAAAGAAGACAGCGGGAUAAGAAAGUUUGCAAACACUUGGAGAGGAGAAUAAAAAGGUAUGUUUUCCCUUACGUGUUUUUUAAACACUCGGCCCUAGUCUCUUACAGUAUUAUCCAACAGCAGCAAAUUUACGUAGCAAAUAUUAGCGUGCGUCUGUCUAGCAGACCGUUGCUAAGGACCCCCAUCAGAACAGCUCCCCCUAGUGGCCUGGCGACCUUCCGUGAAUUUGCAGCGUCUUUCUCUUGCAGUUGUUUCGGGGUUUGUAUGCAGCAUUUCCCUUUUGCAUUUGUUUUGUCGGUUUGUGUGUUUUUGCUUUUGCAGCAUUUCUGUGAAUGCAUCGUUUGCCCUUGUCGGCCACCGUAGAUUCAACACCACAGAGGACACAUUUUUAUAAUUUUCAAAAAUUAAUCUGAGGGCCACUUCAAGUGAGGGCAUGAGCCGUGUGCGGCCCCUGGACUGCUGGUUGCCCAUACUAUUCAGCUUCAAUAUUAGCUGCAAGUAAUGACAGUCAUAACUGAAAGUAAAUUUAACUUUUUGUUUUUGCUUUGUUGAAAUUCCAGAAUCAUAUUGUUGAAAGGAUGUGGCCAGAAGUCAACAAAAGAGUGAACUACCCACUGAAAACGGCUCUCGUCCAGCUCAUAGACCAGGAGGAACUUGACAUGGAGGACAACUUGACACGAUACUGUGUCUCCACACUUACAUGUCAGGUAGCAGAGAUUGGACUUGGUCGGAUGGUGCAGUCCUGGAAUGCACACAGGAUUCAAGGAAAAGGUUUUCCAAAUCAACUGGCUCUGGGUGGAUGUCCAAAGAAACUGGCGGCAGAUUGUUUGCCAGAGGCUGCAGAAGCUGGACAAGCUUACCACCAGGAAGUGGGGUCAUCGCUGACACAAGCUUCCCUUUUUGGGAGAAACCCAUUCCCCACAGGUGAACAACAAACAGCAGCUGAAAAUAAAUUUGCACAGCAAUACUUGGACAUUUCUGUGCUUUUCAACAAUUCGGUGUACAACAAUCCGACCAGUUUUCAAAGCAGGAUCAAGGACCUCAUCAAUAUUGUGAAAAGAUAUGUGUAGAGAGAGCUGAAACGUCAUCGACAUUUUUGUGACAUAAUGUUAUUCAUAUAUUUUUCUUUUUUCUGACUUUGUUCUUGUUAUUCUUGUAUUAAAGACUGUUUUUUUCACCAG